rnacentral:rRNA from 1 species
CCUACGGGCGGCAGCAGUGGGGAAUAUUGCACAAUGGGCGCAAGCCUGAUGCAGCCAUGCCGCGUGUGUGAAGAAGGCCUUCGGGUUGUAAAGCACUUUCAGCGGGGAGGAAGGCGGUGAGGUUAAUAACCUCAUCGAUUGACGUUACCCGCAGAAGAAGCACCGGCUAACUCCGUGCCAGCAGCCGCGGUAAUACGGAGGGUGCAAGCGUUAAUCGGAAUUACUGGGCGUAAAGCGCACGCAGGCGGUCUGUCAAGUCGGAUGUGAAAUCCCCGGGCUCAACCUGGGAACUGCAUUCGAAACUGGCAGGCUAGAGUCUUGUAGAGGGGGGUAGAAUUCCAGGUGUAGCAGUGAAAUGCGUAGAGAUCUGGAGGAAUACCGGUGGCGAAGGCGGCCCCCUGGACAAAGACUGACGCUCAGGUGCGAAAGCGUGGGGAGCAAACAGGAUUAGAUACCCCAGUAGUC